GACGAACGCUGGCGGCGUGCCUAAUACAUGCAAGUCGAACGCAGUGGGGACGGGUGAGUAACACGUGGGUAACCUCCCAUCAGAGGGGAUAACGCUUGGAAACAGGUGCUAAACCGAUACUGAUGGAUGGACCCGCGGUGCAUUAGCUAGUUGGUGAGGUAACGGCUCACCAAGGCCACGAUGCAUAGCUGAUCUGAGAGGAGGAUCGGCCACACUGGGACUGAGACACGGCCCAGACUCCUACGGGAGGCAGCAGUAGGGAAUAUUCGGCAAGGGGCGAAAGUCUGACCGAGCAAUGCCGCGUGUGUGAAGAAGGUUUUCGGAUCGUAAAACACUGUUGUCAGAGAAGCGGUAUCUAACCAAAAAGCAACGGCUAACUACGUGCCAGCAGCCGCGGUAAUAC
rnacentral:rRNA from 1 species